rnacentral:rRNA from 1 species
AGAGUUUGAUCAUGGCUCAGAUUGAACGCUGGCGGCAGGCCUAACACAUGCAAGUCGAACGGUAACAGGAAUCAGCUUGCUGAUUUGCUGACGAGUGGCGGACGGGUGAGUAAUGUCUGGGAAACUGCCUGAUGGAGGGGGAUAACUACUGGAAACGGUAGCUAAUACCGCAUAACGUCGCAAGACCAAAGAGGGGGACCUUCGGGCCUCUUGCCAUCGGAUGUGCCCAGAUGGGAUUAGCUAGUAGGUGGGGUAAAGGCUCACCUAGGCGACGAUCCCUAGCUGGUCUGAGAGGAUGACCAGCCACACUGGAACUGAGACACGGUCCAGACUCCUACGGGAGGCAGCAGUGGGGAAUAUUGCACAAUGGGCGCAAGCCUGAUGCAGCCAUGCCGCGUGUAUGAAGAAGGCCUUCGGGUUGUAAAGUACUUUCAGCGGGGAGGAAGGGAGUAAAGUUAAUACCUUUGCUCAUUGACGUUACCCGCAGAAGAAGCACCGGCUAACUCCGUGCCAGCAGCCGCGGUAAUACGGAGGGUGCAAGCGUUAAUCGGAAUUACUGGGCGUAAAGCGCACGCAGGCGGUUUGUUAAGUCAGAUGUGAAAUCCCCGGGCUCAACCUGGGAGCUGCAUCUGAUACUGGCAAGCUUGAGUCUCGUAGAGGGGGGUAGAAUUCCAGGUGUAGCGGUGAAAUGCGUAGAGAUCUGGAGGAAUACCGGUGGCGAAGGCGGCCCCCUGGACGAAGACUGACGCUCAGGUGCGAAAGCGUGGGGAGCAAACAGGAUUAGAUACCCUGGUAGUCCACGCCGUAAACGAUGUCGACUUGGAGGUUGUGCCCUUGAGGCGUGGCUUCCGGAGCUAACGCGUUAAGUCGACCGCCUGGGGAGUACGGCCGCAAGGUUAAAACUCAAAUGAAUUGACGGGGGCCCGCACAAGCGGUGGAGCAUGUGGUUUAAUUCGAUGCAACGCGAAGAACCUUACCUGGUCUUGACAUCCACGGAAGUUUUCAGAGAUGAGAAUGUGCCUUCGGGAACCGUGAGACAGGUGCUGCAUGGCUGUCGUCAGCUCGUGUUGUGAAAUGUUGGGUUAAGUCCCGCAACGAGCGCAACCCUUAUCCUUUGUUGCCAGCGGUCCGGCCGGGAACUCAAAGGAGACUGCCAGUGAUAAACUGGAGGAAGGUGGGGAUUCACGCCGCAUCCGGCAAUCAGCGCCUGAUGUGACGCUUACGCGUCUUAUCCGGCAAUUCUCUGCUCCCGACGAGGGCAACAAAUGCCGCGUGGCCUGGAAUUACUGAUUGCACAAACCAUUUUGCAAGGUUUCGACGCUCAGUAUGGUCGAUUCCUCGAAGUGACUUCCGGGGCGCAGCAGCGUUUCGAGCAAGCCGACUGGCAUGCUGUCCAGCAGGCGAUGAAAAACCGUAUUCAUCUUUACGAUCAUCACGUGGGUCUGGUCGUGGAGCAAC